rnacentral:tRNA from 1 species
UAUAUCUUAAUGUAUAAAGCAUAAAAGUUUUUGAGACUUUCAGUGAUAAAAAAAUUAUCAGAUAUAA